GACGAACCGUGCAAACGUUGUUCGGAAUCACUGGGCAUAAAGGGCGCGUAGGCGGUCGGUCAAGUCUGGGGUGAAAUCUUUCGGCUCAACCGGAAAAGUGCCCCGGCAUACGGAUCGGCUGGAGGGAGGUAGGGGUCGAGCGGAACGUUCCGGUGGGAAGUCCGGUGGAAAUGCGUAGAAUAUCGGAAGGAACACCGGUGGGCGAA
rnacentral:rRNA from 1 species